AAUCGGGACACUCAUUUUGGCACCCAACAGUACGCAAGUCAGCGGCUGCGAGGGCAAGGACGGCGGCAGGAAGCAGAGGAGAGGAGCGCGAGGAAGCAAGUGUAGAUGGCGUCGACAGCGGAGGUCUCGAGCUGCUUGCUGAUAGAGGAUGGAGCGCGCGAGGGAGUGGAACGGAGGGGGAGGCGGCGAAGGUGGGGAUCUCACUGGAGGCAAUGACCGUGGCGAGAAGGGAGUCGCCGACUAGGCAAGGCGUCCAGGAGGCCGGACGCCGAGUCCUGUCGCCUCGCCUCGCCUGUGACAGUGACAGUAGUCACAGUGCCGAGAAACGGCAAAACAACACGGCCAACAUGACAUGUGGAUGAUGAGCUGGUAGUCAUGUCCAGCUCAGCUCAGAAAUGGGACCCCGGCGAGACCUGCCGCCUAUCACGAGUUUCACGACGGCGACUCGGCUUGCCCAUUCAAUGGAGGUGGUGGGUCUCCCCCGUUUCGUCUCCUGCCAUUCGUCCUCCUCCUCCCCUGUCUCUCUCUCCAUCCAUCCAAUCCCACCUGGAGAAAAACGAGACAAAUCAAAUCUCGCCGCGAGUUGGGCGCUGAGCGCGGGCGCCAUGGCGAGCAACAGCGCGCCCGGCGCCGGCUACGAGUGCGGCAGCGACAACGACGGCGGGCUGCACAAGCCGCUGCUGCCCAACAGCGGGAGCUGCCAACGGACGGGGUCGCGCCAGCCCAGCCUCAACGCCGCCGGCACCUCCUCCAGGGCCGUCCUGCGCGAGUCCCACGUCUCCGCCUUCCUCUGCACGCUCAUCGUCGCGCUCGGCCCCAUCCAGUGCGGCUUCACAAGCGGCUACUCCUCGCCGACGCAGGACGGCAUCAUCCGGGACCUCAACCUCUCCAUCUCCGAGUUCUCGGCGUUCGGUUCGCUGUCCAACGUGGGCGCCAUGGUCGGGGCGAUCGCCAGCGGCCAGAUGGCCAAGUACAUUGGCCGGAGAGGGUCAUUGAUUAUUGCAGCGGUUCCGAACAUCAUGGGCUGGCUUGCAAUCUCCUUCGCGAAACACACUUCGUUUCUGUACAUGGGACGAUUGCUUGAAGGAUUUGGUGUCGGUGUCAUUUCCUAUGUGGUACCGGUAUACAUAGCAGAGAUAUCUCCUCAGAACAUGAGAGGAGCUCUUGGCGCUGUGAACCCGUUGUCUGCAACAUUUGGUGUCAUGUUUGUCUAUGUGCUUGGCUUGUUUUUUCCUUGGAGGCUUCUUGCAUUAAUAGGAACGUUGCCCUGCUUAUUUUUGAUACCUGGCCUAUUCUUCAUUCCGGAAUCUCCAAGAUGGCUGGCAAGGAUGAAUAGGAUGGAUGAUUGCGAGACUUCUCUACAAGUUCUCAGGGGAUUCAAUGCUGACAUCACUGCAGAAGCUAAUGAUAUAAAGAUAGCUGUGACAUCAGCAAACAAAAGUGGUACAAUAAGUUUUCAAGAGUUGAACCAAAAGAAAAACCGCACGCCCCUAAUUCUAGGAAUUGGCCUACUUGUGUUGCAACAGCUAAGUGGAAUAAACUGUAUAGUAUUUUAUUCAGGUAGCAUCUUCAAAGCUGCAGAUGAAGGAAUAUUGUUCAAUGGAGGGAAUGAGAGUUCUACAAUAGAAUUGGACGAACCAUUCGAUGACAACAACAGGGGUUUUGUACGAAGGAUACAAGAAUAUGAAGUUAAGGAGGCGCUAAAAAGGAUGAAGGUAGGAAAGGCGAUGGGCCCUGAUGGUAUCCCUAUCGAGGUAUGGAGAUGCCUUGGAGACAUAGCGAUAGUAUGGCUGACUAAGCUUUUCAACACCAUCUUUCGGACAAACAGAAUGCCCGACGAGUGGCGACGGAGUACAUUAGUACCAAUCUUCAAGAACAAAGGAGAUGUUCAAAGUUGUACUAAUUACCGUGGAAUUAAGCUCAUGAGCCAUACAAUGAAGCUAUGGGAGAGAGUCAUUGAACACCGCCUGCGAAAGAUGACGAGCGUGACCCAAAAUCAGUUUGGUUUCAUGCCCGGGAGAUCAACUAUGGAGGCCAUUUUCUUACUAAGACAACUUAUGGAGAGAUUUAGAGAACAAAAGAAGGACCUGCAUAUGGUCUUUAUAGACUUGGAGAAGGCUUAUGACAAAGUACCUAGGAGUGUAAUGUGGUGGGCCUUGGAAAAACACAAAGUAGCAACAAAGUACAUUAAUCUUAUUAAAGAUAUGUACAGUAAUGUUGUGACAAGUGUCCGAACAAGUGAUGGGGACACCGAUGACUUUCCAAUUAACAUAGGACUACAUCAAGGGUCGGCUUUGAGCCCUUAUCUUUUCGCUUUGGUGAUAGAUGAGGUCACAAGGGACAUACAAGGAGAUAUACCGUGGUGUAUGCUUUUUGCCGAUGAUGUGGUACUUAUUGAGGAGAGUAGGAGUGGUGUUUCGCAAAAGUUGGAAUUGUGGAGGCAGACGCUGGAAGCAAAAGGUUUUAGGCUUAGUAGGUCUAAAACGGAGUAUAUGAAGUGUGAUUUCAGUGCCAUGGGGUAUGAAGAUGGCGAUGUUAGUCUUGAUGGGCAAGUGGUACCCAAGAAAGACACUUUUCGUUACUUAGGAUCAAUGCUUCAGAAGGAUGGAGACAUCGAUGAGGAUGUCAGUCAUAGAAUUAAAGCUGGAUGGUUGAAGUGGCGGCAAGCGGCGGGUGUCUUAUGCGACCCCCGGGUGCCACACAAACUAAAAGGCAAAUUCUACAGGACAGCAAUCCGGCCGGCUAUGUUGUAUGGAGCAGAAUGUUGGCCCACUAAAAGACGACAUGUCCAACAACUAUGUGUGGCAGAGAUGCGUAUGUUGCGCUGGAUAUGUGGCCACACAAGGAGAGACCGAGUCCGGAAUGAUGAUAUACGAGAGAGAGUAGGAGUGGCGCCAAUUGAGGAGAAGCUUAUGCAACAUCGUUUGAGAUGGUUUGGACAUAUCCAACGAAGAUCUGAUGAGGCACCAGUGCAUAUCGGAAUAAUUAGGCGUCCCGAGAAUGUGAAGAGAGGUAGAGGUCGACCAACCUUGACGUGGACAGAGGCUGUGAAGAGGGACCUGAAGGAGUGGAAGAUUGAUAAAGAGCUCGCCGUGGAUAGGAAGGGGUGGAAGUGUGCAAUUCACGUGCCAGAACCUUGAUUUAUAGUUUCGCUUUUCCUCUUUAAUCGUUUGAUCUUUUCUUGUGCCCAUUUAGAUCUUGCUGGUUCUUGUGGGUUUUAUCUCUUUUAUGUGUUUCCCCGUUUCGUCGUUUUUCGUUUCUCCUUUGCCUUUGUUUCCCCUUUUUUCUUUGGGGGUUGAGCUCUGAGGUUUUCAUACGGGGUUUCAUCUCUAGCCUACCCCAACGUGCUUGGGACAAAAAGGCUUUGUUGUUGUUGUUGUUGUUGUAUGAAGGAAUAUUGUAGUGGACUAGAAAAAUCAAAAGAGGGAAACUGGGAUGAAGUGACCUUAUUGUUCCUAAGUCCUAACACAUUAUAAUAUGUUAAACAAAGCUAAUAUAUUAGUCUCCUUGUAGGUUACAACAUGGUUUAUCGUUCUCUUGCUUUGAUAAAUGAUGGCAUUUUAUUGUUUAUUACAAAAACAGUAUGCCUCAUCUGUCUUUAUCUACAACUGUGCUGGCAGUCUGUUUUGACCUUUUCUAACAAUCAAAGUUCUCCAGGGCUCAAGAACAGCAACUUGGACGCAUGUGUACUUGGAGCUCUCGAGGUUCUUGCCACUGGUGUUACAAUCACGUUCUUGGACAGAGCUGGCCGGAGAAUCCUCCUUAUUAUAUCUUCUUGUGGGAUGACCCUAAGCCUUCUUGCGGUUGCUGUUGUAUUUUACAUCAAGGAUAAUAUUUCACAUGAUUCUGACAUGCAUAACAUCUUAAGUAUGGUGUCGUUGGUUGGUGUCGUGGCUUAUGUCAUUGCCUUCUGCUUCGGCAUGGGUGCCAUUCCAUGGAUCAUUAUGUCUGAGAUCCUUCCGGUUAGCAUCAAGAGUGUGGCAGGAAGCUUUGCGACCCUAGCCAACUGGUUGACAUCCUUUGGGAUAACAAUGACAGCAAAUUUGCUCUUGAGCUGGAGUGCUGCAGGCACAUUUGCCUCCUACAUGGUCGUGAGUGCGUUCACUCUAAUGUUCGUCAUCCUCUGGGUGCCAGAGACGAAGGGAAGAACCCUUGAGGAGAUACAGUGGUCCUUCCAGUAGUGAGCUGCAGCAGCAUUCAUCAGUAAAUGCAGUCAUCAGCAAGGUCUGGUCUGAGCUGCUGUAUGUGGUGUGGCGGCAUUUCUUCUUCUUUUUGUACUGCAAUCUCUUCUGUGGCAUCAUUUGGUGUGUAAGUUUCCUGCAUGACAUUGAUAGUAGGGAUUAACUUGCAUUUGUGACAAAUUAGUUGAUAGUGAUAGGAUCCCUUUUUGACGUCCCCAUAUCCUCCGUGUGGCGGCAUGGGAUGUCAAAAGGAAAGGGAUGGAGUUUUCUCGCUUUUGGUGUAGCAGGCCUCCCUUUGGUCAAGUAGUCACAGACCCAUUUUUUUUUUGUCAUUGGAUUGGAUACGUUACAGGGUUCGCUCACCACCCACACUCGAGACUGUUCAUUAAGUUUACUCUUAUGGAGAUGAUCGAGUGGAAGUUGGAUAAGGAUUGGAGUCGGAUGUAUCAGGUGCCAAGGAAUCCUUGUAUUCGGUAAAAAA